AUCUAUGGCCAUGCCACCCUGAACAUGCCCAAUCUCGUCUGAUCUCGGAAGCUAAGCAGGAUCAGGCCUGGUUAGUACUUGGAUGGGAGACCACCAAGGAAUACCGGGUGCUGCAGGCU
rnacentral:rRNA from 1 species